GGAUAAGCCCUGCAAGAUAUGUAGCAAUGACAAAGGCGAGAGUGUCUCUGAGAAUGUGCAGAGUUGACCCUGCCCCUCCUCAGUGCCUGGGCUUGCGGGGCAAAGAAGUUAAGCACUAGUGUGGAAGUGAGUAAAAUGGAAGGGAAUUUGCCAUUACAGCAUUUGCCAAGGUGGUGUUUUCCAGACCUAAUGGACUACAACACCCAUCAGACCCAGCCAGCAAAAGGGUGAUCGCUGGGGCUGAUGGGAGCUGUAGUCCAAACCAUCUGGAAGGUACCCAGGUUAGGGAAAGCUGGGUUAUUGUUAUAUCUAAUGCCGGACACUUGUGAUUGUAAUUUAAUAAAUAAUAAUAAUAAUUGUCAUUUGCAUGCUAGUUUUACCUGGUUUUCUCCUGAUUUUAAAACAACUUAAAUAGAUACAUUAUAGACAUAUUUCUACAGUACUCUAGGGGUCAUUUUGGCCAAAAACCUAUGUAUACAUUUUAACUUGCUUUUUUUUAAAAAAGCAACAACAAGCAAUCCAGUACGAAAUAGAAUAAUCUGGUUCUUCCUUCCAAAUAGGCCCCAAAUAGGCGUCAAAGAGUUAACGUAAAUUCCUGGUUAUUUUGCAACAAGAAAAAUCAGGAAGUAAACAGAAUAAGCAUAAUCUCUUAAAUCCAGAUGCACAGAAUGGAAUUCACCCUGGGAAAAGGUAUCAAGGGAAUUGUUGUUUUUACACAGAGACACACACACAGAGCCUACUCACAUUGCUAUCACCACCUCCAAAGACUUCAGGCGACUGCUCAGGUAAUACAAGGCAAGGAACAAAGGAAACAAAUAAUAUUCCCCCCUCCCCCUGGAACAGUCUCAGAAAUAUGUCCAAGAAAGAAAAGAAAAAAGUUAAUUCCACCACAUAUCAAGCACCAAAUAAAUGUAUCUGUCAAUAAUUGCCCACAGGUCACAGGAGGUCUAAAUUUGUGCUUUUUUUAUAGCAUAUGAAAUAAAAUCAAGCCAUUUUUUUGGUCUGCCUUUU